AAAAUCUAUUUGAGUUAAAAUGUCAUUGCUUUUCCUGAUGCUUGUAAUGCAAGUCUAUAGCCUCAUUCCGGGGAAGAUGAUGAGUUUUAAUGUUUUUCAAUGAAUGAUGCAGUGUGGGAACCAAGGGAUAAGGAGGACAAUGACGUUCACACAUGAUGACUGCCGCUUGCUUUUCCUGAGCACCCAAGCUGCCAGCUGCUUCUCCCCAGGAGCAUAUCUCUGUUUUCUAGAUCCAGGACAGUGUUUCCAGAUGUGUGGUCCAGUCCCCCACCUCCCAGCAGGGAAGAUGAGGAAAUGAAGGCUGUACAGUUAUAGCAGGUCACUCUCCAUCGGAGCAGCAAGCAGCGGCCACCCGUCAGCACUCAAGUAGGGGACUUCCUGUUGGAGAAGAGGGCCAAGAGGGGCCACGGUCACAGCAGAGAGGCGAGGGGCGAAAUGCUCUUCUAACAGGGAAUGCUGCCAUCUGAGCCAGGAAGCUCUCAGCCUCGCCCUUCGUUCCCCACUCCCAGGAGGUGGACACCUGCAUAGAGCCCUCAGCAUGAGGAGCUACAUUGUAUGAAAACCAGUCAAUGUUUCAAAGAUGACUAGGCAAGAAAAAGAAAUCCUUACCACCUAAUUUAGCUGGUUCAACAGUAGCUGGCUCAACGGUCCACCUGCACCCUGGAUGACCAAUCUUACUGAGGUAUGAUGUUCACCUUUAGAGGACAGGGGUGCACUUUGAUUUCCUUUGUAUUCCUUUCAUUCCUCAUGUCAUCAAACAAUGUUAAGAGAGGCCCUUCCUCUCUCUGUUUAUUAAGUCCUGGUAUAUCUCAAUAUAUGUACUUUGGUUUCAGGGAAAGAGCCCUGGGCUUGACCUUGGGCAACUCAGUUCCAACUACUAUGAUCUUCCUUUGUCCGUGAGAUAAAGAUAAAAGUCAUGACCUGACAGAGUUGUGGUAAGAAUUGAAGGACCUGCUAAAGUGCUUUGCACACUAUAAAUUAUUGUACAAAUAUCAUGGCAGUCUGAUCAGAGUGGGAUCUUGUGGGGCACGUGAAUAAAUCUGAAGCAGCCCAAACUGUUUCAAAUUCAAUCCUUACUCUUUUUUUUCAAUGUUUACUUAUUUAUUGUGAGGAAGAAAGAGAGAGAGAGAGA